rnacentral:rRNA from 1 species
UACGGAGGGUGCAAGCGUUAUCCGGAUUCACUGGGUUUAAAGGGUGCGUAGGCGGGCAGGUAAGUCCGUGGUGAAAUCUCUGAGCUUAACUCAGAAACUGCCAUGGAUACUAUUUGUCUUGAAUAUUGUGGAGGCAAGCGGAAUAUGUCAUGUGGCGGUGAAAUGCUUAGAUAUGACAUAGAACACCCAUUGCGAAGGCAGCUUGCUACACAAUGAUUGACGCUGAGGCACGAAAGCGUGGGGAUCAAACAGG